rnacentral:rRNA from 1 species
UGCAGUCGACGAUGAGCUCCAGCUUGCUGGGGGGAUUAGUGGCGAACGGGUGAGUAACACGUGAGUAACCUGCCCUUGACUCUGGGAUAAGCGCUGGAAACGGCGUCUAAUACCGGAUACGAGCUUCAGCCGCAUGGCUAGGAGUUGGAAAGAAUUUUGGUCAAGGAUGGACUCGCGGCCUAUCAGCUAGUUGGUGAGGUAAUGGCUCACCAAGGCGACGACGGGUAGCCGGCCUGAGAGGGUGACCGGCCACACUGGGACUGAGACACGGCCCAGACUCCUACGGGAGGCAGCAGUGGGGAAUAUUGCACAAUGGGCGCAAGCCUGAUGCAGCAACGCCGCGUGAGGGAUGACGGCCUUCGGGUUGUAAACCUCUUUUAGUAGGGAAGAAGCGAAAGUGACGGUACCUGCAGAAAAAGCACCGGCUAACUACGUGCCAGCAGCCGCGGUAAUACGUAGGGUGCAAGCGUUGUCCGGAAUUAUUGGGCGUAAAGAGCUCGUAGGCGGUUUGUCGCGUCUGCUGUGAAAUCUGGGGGCUCAACCCCCAGCCUGCAGUGGGUACGGGCAGACUAGAGUGCGGUAGGGGAGAUUGGAAUUCCUGGUGUAGCGGUGGAAUGCGCAGAUAUCAGGAGGAACACCGAUGGCGAAGGCAGAUCUCUGGGCCGUAACUGACGCUGAGGAGCGAAAGCGUGGGGAGCGAACAGGAUUAGAUACCCUGGUAGUCCACGCCGUAAACGUUGGGAACUAGAUGUGGGGACCAUUCCACGGUCUCCGUGUCGCAGCUAACGCAUUAAGUUCCCCGCCUGGGGAGUACGGCCGCAAGGCUAAAACUCAAAGGAAUUGACGGGGGGCCCGCACAAGCGGCGGAGCAUGCGGAUUAAUUCGAUGCAACG